UCGAACUCCUGACCUCAGGUGAUCCACUCACCUUGGCCUCCCAAAGUGCUGGGAUUACAGGCGUGAGCUAUGGCGCCUGGCAAGUAAUCUUUUUAAUAACUAAGAACACUGGAAAAACUAGAGGAGAUUAUUAGUAAAAGGUGUUCAUUUUAUUUUCCCAUAAUUAUUGCUUGAUUUCCUGUCACUAGUCAGGACUAAAAGGUGGGAGAUGUGGGACCUUUGAGUUCUGUUACAUAGCAUUUGCUUAUGUAUGUUUGCAACUAAAAUGGAAACUUUAGGCUGGGCACAGUGGCUCAUGCCUGUAAUCCCAGCAUUUUGGGAGGCCCCUGGAGUAGUUGGGACUACAGCUAGGUGCCACCAUGCCCAGCCGAUUUUUGUAUUUUGAGUAGAGAUGGGGUUUCACCAUGUUGGCUAGGUUGGUCUCAAACUCUUGGCCUCAAGUGAUCCACCCACUUCGGCCUCCCAAAGUGCUGGGAUUACAGGCGUGCCUCCAUACAGAAGAAUUUUUUUUUUUUUUGAGAUGGAGUCUCGCUCUAUCACCCAGGCUGGAGUGCAGUGGCGUGAUCUCGGCUCACUGCAAGCUCCGCCUCCUGGGUUCAUGCCAUUCUCCUGCCUCAGCCUCCCUAGUAGCUGGGACUACAGGCGCCCACCAUCAUGCCCGGCUAAUUUUUUGUAUUUUUAGUAGAGACGGGGUUUCACUGUGUUAGCCAGGAUGGUCUCGAUCUUCUGACCUCAUGAUCCCCCUGCCUCAGCCUCCCAAAGUGCUGGGAUUACAGGCGUGAGCCACUGCGCCUGGCCAGAAGAAUCUUGAGUUGAGGGGGAGGAUGAAGUGUUUGCACAUUAGAAGCUUAGUCAUGGUAUCUUCAUAAAUGGGGAUCUGGUGAGCAAGGUUGCUCUGCUAACAUUUAUGUAGCCUUAACUGACAGACUGAGUCUCAUAUUGGGUUAGAAUAAACAGCUGCUGCCAAGGAAGCUUAACAUUGGUUCUAAGGAAACUAUGUGGCAUCAGAUAAGCUUGCUUGACAUCAGAACUUGCCACUGACAUGGUUCAUCUGCUGCCUAGCCUAUGUGAUUGUGUUCUCAUUGAUGCACAUUUAAAUUAAUAUUUUGGGCAAUUGGUUAAAAUUUUGACCUUUAGGCCCUAGAGGUUUCUCAUGACUUUAUUUAUGAAGAAUAUUGUUGAUGCAUUUUAGAAUUUAAUUUGUGUUUUUUUCUGAUUAUGAAGGCAAUACAUAGUUGAUUUAAAAAAAAUACUCUGGAAAAAGUAUAGAAAAGGAUUAAGAAGAAAAUAAAAAUCACCUGAAAUUCUACUUCCCAUGGUGGUACAAAUUCUGAUGCCUUAGGAGCCAAAUAGGCAAUGAGUGAAUCAGGCCAGUUAUAAGCACUGGGGAGUGAUGGCAACUGUGGUUAACUGGAAAAUGCCGGCCCUAACUGAAGAAGUUACUACCAUCUUCAACUUACUGUUGUCACAUGGAAACAGGGGCUAAUGUUACCAAAUCUUCCUAAUUGUCAAGAAAGUCCCAGAAGUCUGUUUCUUUUUAAUGUGAAAUUUCUCAUGUUAAAAAAUACUGUGCAGGUCAAACAAAAUAGUCUGUGUGUUGCACUUGGCCCAUACACUGGCAUUUUUUGUCACUCCUGACAUAAAUGCUUCUCAAUCUUUCUCAUAGCUCUUACAAGAAGAGCACAUUUAUUAAAGAAAAUGUUGGGAGAGGAGUUUAUGCAUAAGGAGUUUCUGAGAAUGGCUUCAGGAACUUUUCCGUCUGAGAGGGUUGCUUAGUAUAGAAAUGAUAAACUCAGUUACAGGAAUCAGGUGGUGACAUAAAUGAGUAAAAUGAAUUGGGAUUAAGAUUAUGAGUGUGGACAUGGUACAAAUGCGCUGUUUGGGACAUUUGGGUUCCAGUAAUGUUUUUCCUUGAUGGAAUGCAGAUCCAAAUUGCUGCCAGACCUUCUAAGAUUUAAGAGAUGUCAGAAAUUUGGAUCUUUGUGAAAUUUCUUGAUUUUCAACUCAUUUAUGCAUAGUGUUCCAUUAUUGGAACGCUAAGCUUGUGGGAGUUAUUUAUAUCCUACUGCUCAAGGUCAUCGCCAAGGUCUGAUUUUUCACACAAAAAAAUUGCAACCUCUGGCACAAAUGGGUUAAAAAUACUAUGUGGACCAAACAAAAACCAUCCUUGCCCCAAAUUCUACACAAAAUCCACUAAUUUGCAGCUCUUGGCCUAGAUCACUGUUUCCUACAUAUGUCCUAGAAAUCCUAAUUCUGUCAUAUAUUAAUAGGUGCUAAGAAAUAAGGAAUUCUUGGUCACAUGAAUUUGGAAAAUGAUGGAUUAAACAAAACUGAACACAUUUCCUGACUGAAGGUUAUCAUAGAUCCUCAAUUAUGCUAAUGUGCCUUGUAAAUUCCUAAGAAGAUAUAGCCCAUUACCCCACAGUUACAGUUAGGUCACCAUCUCCACUUGCUUCCCCCACCACCCCCCUUGUCUAGGGUAAGAGUGGCUUUCCUCCUGGUAAAGGUUAGUCUCUGUAUCUCUCUCCAGAUUCUUACCCUGUCUCUUCAGGGAUCUGACUUCAGAAGAAAUCUAUUUCCUGCCUCUUGUCCUGUAGCCUAUCAGUAUGCUUGGUUUUCUCCAGUUUAAAAAAAAUGACGACCUUUUCUUAUACCAUACACAAAAAUUGACUCCAAAUGGAUCACAGACCUAACUAUAAGAGCUAAAACUAUAAAAUUCUUAGAAUAAAACAUGGGAGUAAAUCUUCAUGAUCUCAGGUUAGAUGAAGCCUUCUUAAGUGUUACACCAAAAGCACAAGUAGCAAAAGACAAAACAAAACAACAGGAAAAAAGCACAAGCAACCAAAAUCACAAACAACAAAAGAAGACAAGCUGGGCUGCAAUCCCAGCACUUUGGGAGGCCCCGCAGGCAGAUUACUUGAGCCCAGAAGUUCGAGAUCAGCCUGGUCACCAUGGUGAAACCCUGUCUCUACAAAAAAUACUAAAAAUUAGCCGAGUGUGGCCCGGCACGGUGGCUCAUGCCUGUAAUCCCAGCACUUUGGGAGGCCGAGGCGGGCGGAUCACCUGUGGUCAGGAGUUCCAGACCAGCCUGACCAACGUGGAGAAACCCAGUCUCUGCUAAAAAUACAAAAUUAGCCAGGCGUGGUGGUGCGUGCCUGUAAUCCCAGCUACUUGGGAGGCUGAGGCAGGAGAAUCACUUGAACCUGGGAGGCAGAGGUUGCAGUGAACCAAGAUCACGCCAUUGCACUCCAACCUGGGCAACAAGAGCAAAACUCCAUCUCAAAAAAAAAAAAAAAAAAAAAAAAAAAAGCCGGGUGUGGUUGUAUACACCUGUACUUCCAGCUACUCAGGGGGCUGAGGUGGGAGGAUCACCUGAGCCUGAAGAGGUAGAGGCUGUGGUGAGCUGUGAUCAUGCCACUGCACUCUAGUCUGGGCAACAGAGACUCUGUUUCAGAAUAAAAAAAAAAAAAAAAAAAAGAAAAAGGAAAAGACAAGCUAUAUUUUAGUCUUAAAUUGGCCUUUAUCAAAAUUAAAAGCUUGUGCUGCAAAGGACACUAUCAAGAAAGGGAAAGACAACCCACAGACUGGGAAAAAUAUUUGCAAAAGAUAAAUAACUCAAAAUAUUGGCAAGGGGCCAGGCACAGUGGCUCAUGCCUAUAAUCCCAGCACUUUGGGAGGCCGAAGCAGGCAGAUUACCUGAGGUCAGGAGUUUGAGACCAGCCUGGCCAACAUGAUGAAACCCUGUCUCUACCAAAAAAAUACAAAAAUUAGCCAGGCAUGGUGGCUCAUGCCUGUAGUCCCAGCUACUUGGGAGGCUGAAGCAGGAGAAUCGCUUGAACCCGGGAGGCGGAGGUUGCAGUGAGCCCAGAUUGCACCACUGUACUCCGGCCUGGGUAACAAAGUAAGUCUCGGUCUCAAAAAAAAAAAUAUAUAUAUAUAUAUAUAUAUUGGCAAGGUAUCUGAAUAGACAUUUCUCAAAAGUAGAUAUAUAAAUGGUCAAUACACCCAUAAAAAGAUGCUCAGCAUCAUUAGCCAUCAGGUCAAAACCACAAUGAGAUACCGCUUCAGUAGGAGGGCUGUAAUUAAAAAGAUAAUAACAAGUGUUGCCAGGGAUAUUGAGAAGUUGGAACCCUCUCAUGUAGCUGCUGCGAAUGUUAAAUGGUUUAGCCUCUUUGGAAAAUAGUCUGGCAUUUCCUCAAAUGGUUAAACAUAGAGAUACCAUAUGACCCAGCAAUUGAAUACCUAGGUUUAUAACCAAGAGAAAUGAAAACAUGUUCAUACAAAACCUUGUACACUAAUGUUUAUAGCAGCAUUAUUCAUAAUAGCCCAAAAAUGAAAACAACUCAGGUGCCCAUCAACUGAUGAAUGGACAAAAUGUGAUGUAACCAUACAAUGAAAUAUGAUUUGGCAAUAAAAAGAAAUGAAGUACUGAUACAUAGCACAGAUGAAAGAAGCUAGUCACUAAAGAGCACAUCUUAUGUGAUUCUAUUUAUAUCAGAUAUUUAGAAUAAGUAAAUCUGUAGAGAGAAAGUAGAUUAGUGUUUACCUAAGAUUAGGUGGUGGUGAGGAAGGGUUAGGGCUAAAUGGGGGUGGUGUUGACUGCUAAUAGUUACUAGGUCUCUUUCUGGAGUGAUGAAAAUGUUCACAAAUCAAUUGUCAUGGUUGCACAACUCUGUGACUGUCUUAACGACACCAUUAACCUCUCUGUGGCAGUUGACACUAUUGACUGUUCCUGAAAUUCUUCUGGCUUUUAUGACAGAGUUCUAUUGAUCCCCCUGCCCCUAUCUCUGAUAUUUUCUUUCCAGCUUUUUUCACCAGCUUGUUCUUCCACCAGCUACUUAUCUGUUGGUGGUGUUGGGUCGUGAUUUCAUUCAUUAUCCAUGGCUUUUAGAACGUCUGAGUUGCCUGUUACUUGUGAAUCAAUUUUUCUAGUCCCGGUAAGUGAACUGAGGAACCAUCUUUUCAGUUGCUUAUUGGACAACUCCCUCUGAAUAUCCCAGUGCUAAUUACUUUCCCUCUCAGAGCUGGUUUUCUUCCUAUGUUACCAAUUGACCCAGUCACUUGAGCCAGGGGCUGGGAGCCAUCCUAGAUUUCUGUCUCACCCUCCACAUGGAGUGUCAUGUGGCUGCCUUUUUUACACCUGCCCUCUCAUCUCCAUUCACACUGCUGCUGCUUCUGCUACAGUUAAUCUGUAGUUUAUCUUUCACUAAGACUGUAAGCUCCAUGAGAUCUGGGGCCAUGUGUGUUUUCUUCAUCACUGUCUGUAAUGCUUGGUACAUUGCAUGUUAUGUAAGUAAUAUUUGUUGAUUGAAUAAAUGAAUUCACAAAUGAA